CCCAAGAAAAAGCAAAAAAAACACAAAAACUCAUCAGACUACUAGUAAAGAGAAGUAUCAGCAAGGUCUCGUCCUUUUGGUCGCACGUCUGAAUCACCAUUUUCAUCAUCAAAGACCUCUCUUUGUUCCCGUGACAGAUCCUUCUUAACCAAAAUACUUCACCGACCCAUGCCUUUUAUUUCACCCAAUUUCUACUCCUGGGUUCCUUAAUUACGUUCCCAGGUUCGACCUUCUUCUCCGGACAAUCUGAAUAUAUCAAAAUUUGUUGUUUUCUUCAGACAUUGCUUACUCCAGAGCAAGCUAAGCUAUUUAAGACUCUUCAUUACAUGUCGGAAACUUCGGCUCCGGCUUGUCUUUCAGGUUGUGUGUUGUGGAGAUAGGAUCUUGGAACAAAGAUGAGGAUGAUGAAGAACAAACACAACAAGAAACCAACGUCUUUGCGUUGUUCACCUUUCACUUUAGUCUCAGCAGUUGUGGGAUGUGUUUUCAUGAUUCACCUAACCAUGUUAUAUUACAGCAGAAGAUAUAGUGUAGUAGAUCCUGAAGUCUCACCUCAGCUACUACUAAUCCACCAUCCCAUUGUCCGUGAGCUCGAACGUGUUGAAGAAGAGA